rnacentral:tRNA from 1 species
UGCCGGGUGGUGUAAUUGGCAACACACCAGUCUCUGGAUCUGGUAUUUGGGGUUCGAGUCCCUGCCCGGCAG